rnacentral:rRNA from 1 species
AUUGAACGCUGGCGGCAUGCCUUACACAUGCAAGUCGAACGGUAACGGGCCUUCGGGUGCCGACGAGUGGCGGGCGGGUGCGUAAUACAUCGGAACGUGCCCGAACGUGGGGGAUAACGAGGCGAAAGCUUUGCUAAUACCGCAUACGAUCUACGGAUGACAGCGGGGGACCGCAAGGCCUUGCGCGGACGGGGCGGCCGAUGGCAGAUUAGGUAGUUGGUGGGAUAAACGCUUACCAAGCCGACGAUCUGUAGCUGGUCUGAGAGGAUGAUCAGCCACACUGGGACUGAGACACGGCCCAGACUCCUACGGGAGGCAGCAGUGGGGAAUUUUGGACAAUGGGCGCAAGCCUGAUCCAGCCAUGCCGCGUGCAGGAUGAAGGCCUUCGGGUUGUAAACUGCUUUUGUACGGAACGAAAAGCCUUCUUUUAAUACAGGAGGGUCAUGACGGUACCGUAAGAAUAAGCACCGGCUAACUACGUG